rnacentral:rRNA from 1 species
CCUACGGGUGGCAGCAGUGAGGAAUAUUGGUCAAUGGUCGGGAGACUGAACCAGCCAAGCCGCGUGAGGGAUGAAGGUACAGAGUAUCGUAAACCUCUUUUGUCAGGGAACAAAGGCGGGGACGCGUCCCCGGAUGAGUGUACCUGAAGAAACAGCAUCGGCUAACUCCGUGCCAGCAGCCGCGGUAAUACGGAGGAUGCGCGCGUUAUCCGGAUUUAUUGGGUUUAAAGGGUGCGAAGGGGGUCUGUUAAGUCAGCGGUAAAAGCCCGGGGCUCAACCCCGGACCGCCGUUGAAACUGGCAGUCUCGAGUUGGAGAGAAGUAUGCGGAAUGCGCGGUGUAGCGGUGAAAUGCAUAGAUAUCGCGUAGAACUCCGAUUGCGAAGGCAGCAUGCCGGCUCCACACUGACGCUGAGGCACGAAAGCGUGGGUAUCGAACAGGAUUAGAUACCCCUGUAGUC